UUGAAGAUAAGAUAAUUAAAAUUCAUCCAAGCCCCAUAGUAUAGUCACUAGAAUUUUCAGAAGUAAAGUGUUUUAUCUAUCUCAGUUAACAGCCCUUGAGUGAGAGACGAGGCAAGGCAAGCACGGUGGGGUGGGAUGCACCCUCCCCUCCCAUAUGAGUCAUGCCCUCAUGACCAAUGAAAGUUCAAUGUGUGAGGUAUUCCCACAGGCACAGUCCAGCCACCACUCGAGAUAGAAAUACAAAAGCAUAAUUUGGAGGAGGCUGAGAGGAUUUUUACAGUUAGACGGUGACAAAAUGGCACCCCUUCAACUGCAGCUUCACUUUUGGGAAGAGGAAGAAGCCUCAACAUGAAGGUUGAUCAUCCAAGGCACAGUGACUGAGCUCUUGACAGACUUCAGCUUGGUACUCCAUCUAUUCAGGGAUCAGAAGCCUGGGCACAAUGUUAAAAGUAAUGCAGUGCAUGUUCAAAUCAGAUCUCAGCGCAAGAGACCACACCUGUGAGGAUCCCACUAUGUAUAGGCAGCAACAUCCUGGCUCAUUCUUUGUAUAUGAUCCAGGAUCUCAGAACUCAGAUUCACCAGAUCCCGAAGUCUUCAGAACCGACUCCUUAUAAUUCACAGCUAUUCUAUAAACUAAAGAUACUGCUGAAAGGAUCCUACUUUGAGAGCAAAGAGAUUAUCACAGAGAAAUGUGAUAACAGAUAGAAGCCAAUUCGAAACAGGACUUCCAGAAAUGUUUCUAUGGAUAAAAGACCACUGGACCCAUGUGUAGAGUCACAUGGGUCCUCUUUCAAAAGAGAAUGGAGUUAGAACCAACAAAUUACACUAUUUUCAUCACAGAUCAGAAACUUUUGAGCGGUAAUUGAAAAAUAUAAUCCUAUGAUAAACAGGUUAUCUAUACAUGAAAACUCGAUAACUAUAAAUGUGGCGAUUGUGUGUUUGGCAGAAUAAAUGUGACAGUCCUUCAGUGUAUAACUUUUCCAUAACUGAGGAGCAAGUGUGGACUGUCCUUGAGAAGAAAACUUCACAAAGUUUAUGAUCACUGAUAGAAGAACUUACCUG